rnacentral:lncRNA from 1 species
CCGUCCACACGCCCGCCCGCCCGUCCACACGCCCGCCCGUCCGUCCACAUGUCUGACCGUCCGUCCACAUGCCCGCCGUCCAUCCACAUGGCCGCCAUCGACUGACGUCAGCAGACCUCAGUAUUCCCUGUCUCCAUCCACAUCACUCGCUCUUCCAGGGCAGUCUUGCCUAGGGAGAUGAAGAUGGCAAACAACCUUGCUGUUCAGCUCAGGAACUUCCAACAUGCAAUGGACACUUCUGUAGGAGGCAUCAAGCCGUUCUUGGUGAUAUCUGUGUCUUCAUCACGUGCUGGUUGCACGGGUGUUUAGGUAGGAACUCUCUGUGGAGCUGUGGGCAUGACUGUGUCUGUGUCUUCAGUAGAGUUGAGAGGUUUGAGAGCAGUCAUGAGGAUUAACAGCAGAUACCAGGAGGCUGCUCGCUGGUCCUGUCAACACGGCCAUGUAGUCAGGAUGCCAGCUCCCCCACCAAGUCAACUUUGGGGAGCUUGGCAGAGCCGUGACUCCAGGAGGCAUCCCUGGACUCUCGAAGCCCCCUGCUGUGUGUGUGUCAGGGGGCUCUGAGCCCAGUGAGUGGCUGUCCCUGGGGCAGGCAGGGGGCACUUGAGGUGCCACAGAGGACACGGACCGUAGGAACCACGAGAGGGGCGGAUGGCCCAGAGCCAGGGUGUGGAUGACUGCCCUGGGCAGCUGGGGUCGGGAGGCAGCCUUUUCACUUCAAUGAGAAUGGUGUGCAGCUGGGAUGGGACAGCCUCUCAGAAGGAGAGAAGGGACGUAACAGAAAGCAGCAGCAGGCAAACCCCGGCCGAACAGUCCCUGUGACACUCCUUGAGGGCCUGGAGCCAGCUGGAGCCAACAGGUGCCACAUCCAGGGCCAGCUUCCAGGACUCAGGAAGGAGCGACGUGCAGCCGGCUGCGGUGGCUAGGUGGGGCCAGGGAUGCUGCUGAACGUCCCACCACACCCAGGAGCCAUCUGCCCAGGCACAGCUCUUCUGUGAAGUACCUGCUGGGUGCCAGGUCUGGGCGGGGACCCACAGAGUCUCCACAGGUGGGGGACUUACCCUCCUCAU